GGAAAGAAGUAGGAUAGGUCAUCGUGCUGGUGCGCGCGGCGACGGGAAACGGAGGCGGUGGUGGCGGCAGACACGCGCGGAAGGAAACGCAGGCCGUGGUGGCGGCAGGCGCGCGCGGAGGGAAACGGAGGCCGUGGUGGCGGCGGGAAACGGAGGCGGUUGUGGCGGCAGGCGCGCGCGGCGGUAAACGGAGGUCGUGGUGGCGGCAGUCGCGGCGGCGGGAAACGGAGGCGGGGGUGGCGACAGGUGCGCCGGCGGGAAACGGAGGCGGGGGUGGCGACAGGUGCGCCGGCGGGAAACGGAGGUGGUGACGAGGGCACGGAGACUAAACCUAGCUUCAGGGCCGUCAUCACCACGCCGCCCCCCGCCCCUCUUCCGCUCCCGCCGCCGCCGCCCACCACCCCGGACUUCUACUCCGUCAGGAAGAUCCUCUUACGGCCCCUGCCCGUUGCGCUGCUCCUACCACGCAGCCUCAACCUCUGACCUCACACGAGGUCGUCGCCCACCUCCCUGACGCAGUGCCACCACCCCUCGUUACCCAAGUACAGGUACCGGCCUGGUGGGACGGUAAUUUGAGCUUAGCAACACAACCUUGUACGGUAGGGAGUCGAUACCCUCGGCUACAACCCCCUCCUCCCUCCGGGAACGACCCUAACGUAAUCACACCACGCCCAACUCGACCUCGACCGAGGCUCGCUACAACCAAGUCCUACUACACACGCACGUAACGGUUUGUUUCUUCGUCCGUAGGUCAUCCUUUUUAUAAGUAGCCUCAAGAGUUCAACUUCAGUUUAACUGGUCGAUGCAAAGUUUCCAUUGUAGAUCUAAUAUGGAUUCUACUAUCAAACUACACAUCUAACCUUCUUUAGCGUGUGUGAUCUACGUCAACCAUAAAACUUUUAUUUCCGUCGUCAAAUGUAACUCUAGACCCUGAUUAACCAAGUAUAAAUAUGUACAAGGGUUGAACUUAUAACGUCAGCAACAGUGUUCGAAACGUUACCAUAACUAAAACCAGUUAGACCUAAUUUUAGAAAAUUUUCAUCUCGUUGGUUCACGUCUUAAAACAAAGCGUAGAUAUAUAGAUAAAGGUCUAUUUUUAAUUACACCCCGAGUAAUAUAAAGGUCAUACUCUACACCGAGUUAUCAUAAAUAUAGCGGUUACCGUUCGCGUGGCUCAAGUGAUUUUCGUUGUUCGUCCCGUCCCAGUUUCAGUAAUAUAAGUGGUACUACGUCUAACGGUAGUGUAAGUCUGGGUUUCUAGAUCCUUGAUACUUGAACUAAUUUUCCCGUCCCAGUUUCAGUUCUGGGCCCAAUCACCGCUGCUACUACCACCGGACGUCCGAUACCCAGAUCGUCGCAACGUCCGUCAUCACACGUCGCAAAAUGCCAUCCCGCACACUGGUCACUACCUCCCGAGCGCCGCCGACGUCUACCACCUCAUGAUCUGAACACCACCCGUGGGUAAGUAUUCUAGAUGUUGUAGUAGAAACCCAGUCAAGAGGUACUUCCGGUAGGACGCUAUUUUCCAACGCGGAAGGACGAUAAACCCACUGCUGCGGCUCGGACAGCCGGAUACGGGUAGCGAGGACUACACCAUUACACCGCCAGCAACAACAAACGGACGUCUCGGACACCUCUCCACCCUGAACGUCUCAUAUACAUCGUCUUUUCUAGGUUCAUAACCUCGGUUUGUUGACAGAUACGAUGGUGUAGUUCCACCCAACUACGUUUAUUUCAUUCCUGUCCUUAUAUGUCAUCGUCUUUCUGGUUCGUCGAACCAACGAGAAAGUAACUUGACCUACCUUCGCACGUACUCAAGAAACGUCCCUUGGUCAGUGUAAAACUUUUACUUCGAUAUAUGUUGUGACAAAAUCCCUAAUUACUUGACAAUCAUCGUCUCAGGAAGGACUACACUUUCGAUUAUGUAAAGAUACCAUUGGUAUGUAGUCAUGGAUACUAAUUUAUUAGAAGAAAAAGACUUUACUACUUUGGGCUUCAUAAGAUGCAUACAGUACUCGGUGAAUUACACGUUGACUCACGUGUGACAAUAGUUUUAAAAUAACCAGGUCGACUCUACAAAGGAAGACCAUAACGUUAAACACGCUCCAUUAUGGGUGUCAAAAACAACACUACAAUGAUACAGUCUUUUAAUGUACAGGUGAUGUAGUGAAUAAACAAUAAGAGAGUACAAGAACAGACUGGCAAUAUAAAAACGAGACUUGAAUGAUGGGGUCGAAACCAAAGAGACCGAAUUUGAUUAGACCUUCGUCCCAUAGUACACGGGCGAGUGGACAACCACGCCGACCACCUAUGUCUCUCUAGUUGCUACUCCUCUGGGAGCGGCAAGAAGGCUAACGUCGGUCAACGCCCUACACUACCGCCUCAACAAGACGUUGGCGGGUCCCCGGUACCUGCUACCUCUUGAAGGAUUGCGUCAUACGCUCGCCCCUGCUACCUCUUGAAGGACCGCGUCACACGCGCGCUCACCCAAAGUCCUGUCAAGUACCAUCUUCCAGUUCGAGUCUGACCG
rnacentral:rRNA from 1 species